GCCGUGACUUGGUUGGUAAGUUUCGAACGCGACGUUGGUCGCAUUGACGCUUUGCCUUUCUCGGUCGGGGCCGAGACGGUAGGUCGGGCGACCGUUCUGCUUGAUCGUUUUUGCCCGAGAGUUUUAGCUGUAGAAGGAGUGUAACUCCCAUCGUCACGGAUGCGUUGGUUCCUUUAAGCGUCCGAUGCAUCGUCGGCGGUUGGUCCGUCGGUCCCCAGUGGAACGUUAAGUCCGAGUC
rnacentral:lncRNA from 1 species